GGCGGCAUGGCGCAGCGGGUAGCGCCAAUGCCUCACGGCAAGGUCGUGGGUUUGAAUCCCGCCCGGGGUCU